GUUGGCUGUUGAUGCUACCUUUGCUGGCUGCUCUCCCUAUAGCCUGAACUUCAGCUAGUUACUCUGCCUGCGAAGUGCUCCGCUGCGAUGGCACAUAGAAGUGGAGGUAGAGCUGGCCAGUAGGUAGCCAUGACCGUUAGAUAAAGCCGGCUGGCACCAGCGGCCUUCUUCAACUCCAUUAGAUCACCAGGGCGUAUAUUUCUGAGGAGGGUGAAUUACUUUAAAUUCGGUUGAGUUUCCUUUGCUGCAUUAUUGUUGUUACUCGUUAGCAACAAAGAGCCGAAGAUAGACCAAAUUGUCCUUGGUUUGGGUGGGUCCACUUUCCUGGCUAUAUACAUGUUCUCCACUCUUUUUUCGUCAUACUACCGGUCCUUGUAAUGUGGGCUUUGUAUUGCUCUAGACCAGGGAGUUGUUGUGGUAUUGUGUAGCUAUUUCCUUUGCAUUUCCUGUUACUUCAUUAGUGUUUCUGU